AGAAAAUCUGGAGCCUCACAGUGGCGCACGUGACAAGUAUCCUGGGAAAGCCAAUAGCAGAUUAUCAUCUCAACAACAACAAACAAACGUAUCACCAAUUCUUUGUUCUGAAUCGCCAAAUUAAAAUUCCCCUUUUUUAAUUGUGCGCCACAAUUUUGACCUUGCAAACAAACAAACCCUUCCUCUUUCCUUCUCAAUUCAAUCGCCCAUCGCAACUCCGUUUAAUCAAACUCUCUCUCUCUCUCUCUCUCUCUCUCUCUCUCUCUCUACAUGUAGCCUUCUGUAUGUACAGGUGGUGCGGCGAAAAAGGAAGGGUAAAUAUAUUUCGUCAAGCUGCAGUUAUUUUCCCAGAGUAAUUAUUACACCAAUCAAUCAAUCAACCAGAGUUUCAGUGUUCACCAAUCCCGAGGAGGCUUCAUCUUUCUUGUCGGCAUUGUCAAAUUUGAUGCGUAGGUUCUCUACGAGUAGUCGGGCUGGCUGCUGGUGGAUCGAUCUGAUGUGGAUGCCGAUGCUAGAAAUUGAUUUUAAAUUCGGUAAUGACUUCUCCGAAAUCGUAGUUAUUAAUUACUAUGUAUUUGCUUCUAGGACAUGAAUUCGUCUGUUAUAUAAACAUUGUAUGAUGUAGAUAUAUAUAUUUUUUUCUGUAUUUGAAAUGUUUUAAAGUGUACUCGCAGACUAUGAAAUUGAGUAUUCGACCUGUGAUUUUCUCAGGA